rnacentral:tRNA from 1 species
GAAGGUAUAGCUCAGUGGUACAGUGCGUGCUUAGCAUGCAUGAAGUCCUAGGUUCAAUCCCCAGUACCUCCA